UACGUAGGGUGCAAGCGUUGUCCGGAAUUAUUGGGCGUAAAGAGCUCGUAGGCGGUUUGUCGCGUCUGCUGUGAAAACUCGGGGCUUAACCCCGGGCCUGCAGUGGAUACGGGCAGACUAGAGGUAGGUAGGGGAGAAUGGAAUUCCCGGUGUAGCGGUGAAAUGCGCAGAUAUCGGGAGGAACACCGGUGGCGAAGGCGGUUCUCUGGGCCUUACCUGACGCUGAGGAGCGACAGCGUGGGGAGCAAACAGG
rnacentral:rRNA from 1 species